AUCACAGAAUGGUGGGGCUUGGAAGGGACCUCUGGAGAUCAUCUUGUCCAACCCCCCUGCUUGAGCGGGCACACCUAGAGCAGGGGGCACAGGACCGCAUCCAGGAACCUCCUGGAUUGUGCGCACCUCGCCAUGUUGCUUUUCCAGUAAAUAUCAGUGUGGCUGAAAUCCUCCAUGAGAACCAGGGCCUGCGAUUGUGAGGCUACUUCCAGCUGUCCGCAGAAGGCUUCUUCUACAGAUGACUUAUUCCUGAUUAGGUGGCCUGUAGCAAACGCCCACAACAGUAUCAUCCAUAUUUGUCUACCCCUUAAUUUUACCUAUAAACUCUUGAUUAAUUCUUUCUCCACCCCUAGGCAGAGCUUGAUGCAUUCCAGUUGCUCCCUCACAGAAAAAGCAACUCCCCCCACCUCGCCUUGCUGGCCUUUCUUUCCUAGAAAGUAUGUAGCCACCCGUGACAGCAUUCCAGCCAUGACUGACAUUGAAUCAACUUUGGAAUAUCUGAGGAGAUAUUCCUUCACCUAUUUUUAAAUUAAGGUGUAGUGGAAUGACUAAGAACAAUUAAUUUAUUGUACAAAAAGAAUCUUAAUGUCAUGCAUGGUACCUUCUAUGUAAUAGCCAUUGAAACAGGCAGAUCUGCAACAGUUAUAGCUUUAUUCCUAGGGUGGAUUGUUUUAAGUUUCUUUUUCAGUUCUUUACUGAAAUAAUAAUUUAACCUGUGAAAUAUUUUUCUAGCAGAAUGUAUUGGGUUUUGUAGACUUAGAGAAACAGUAUCUGCUGACAUAGAAGGUUAUUUUCUUAGUGGCCCAAAAAGAGGUUGCACAUAGAGACUUAUUUUGGAUAUUUCCAAAGGCUGUUCUAUACCAUAUAAAUGUUAAUGUAGUUGUAAUGAAUGAUAGAUACUGCAUUUAGAUUUGAGAGUAAUAUUUGUUUCCCAGUUUGUAUGAGUGGUAAAUAAAUACUGGGACUGCUUGAUCACA